AUUGAACGCUGGCGGCAUGCCUUACACAUGCAAGUCGAACGGUAGAGUAGCAAUACUCGAGAGUGGCGAACGGGUGAGUAAUAUAUCGGAACGUGCCCAGUCGUGGGGGAUAACGUAGCGAAAGCUACGCUAAUACCGCAUACGAUCUACGGAUGAAAGCGGGGGAUCGCAAGACCUCGCGCGAUUGGAGCGGCCGAUAUCAGAUUAGGUAGUUGGUGAGGUAAAGGCUCACCAAGCCGACGAUCUGUAGCUGGUCUGAGAGGACGACCAGCCACACUGGGACUGAGACACGGCCCAGACUCCUACGGGAGGCAGCAGUGGGGAAUUUUGGACAAUGGGCGCAAGCCUGAUCCAGCAAUGCCGCGUGCAGGAUGAAGGCCUU
rnacentral:rRNA from 1 species